UGGAUCCAGACUUUGAUCAUGGCUCAGGAUGAACGCUAGCUACAGGCUUAACACAUGCAAGUCGAGGGGAAACGAUAGAGAAAGCUUGCUUUUUCUAGGCGUCGACCGGCGCACGGGUGAGUAACGCGUAUCCAACCUGCCCAUCACUUGGGGAUAACCUUGCGAAAGUAAGACUAAUACCCAAUGAUAUCUCUAGAAGACAUCUGAAGGAGAUUAAAGAUUUAUCGGUGAUGGAUGGGGAUGCGUCUGAUUAGCUUGUUGGCGGGGUAACGGCCCACCAAGGCGACGAUCAGUAGGGGUUCUGAGAGGAAGGUCCCCCACAUUGGAACUGAGACACGGUCCAAACUCCUACGGGAGGCAGCAGUGAGGAAUAUUGGUCAAUGGGCGAGAGCCUGAACCAGCCAAGUAGCGUGCAGGAAGACGGCCCUAUGGGUUGUAAACUGCUUUUAUAAGGGAAUAAAGUGAGCCUCGUGAGGUUUUUUGCAUGUACCUUAUGAAUAAGGACCGGCUAAUUCCGUGCCAGCAGCCGCGGUAAUACGGAAGGUCCGGGCGUUAUCCGGAUUUAUUGGGUUUAAAGGGAGCGUAGGCCGGAGAUUAAGCGUGUUGUGAAAUGUAGAUGCUCAACAUCUGCACUGCAGCGCGAACUGGUUUCCUUGAGUACGCACAAAGUGGGCGAAAUUCGUGGUGUAGCGGUGAAAUGCUUAGAUAUCACGAAGAACUCCGAUUGCGAAGGCAGCUCACUGGAGCGCAACUGACGCUGAAGCUCGAAAGUGCGGGUAUCGAACAGGAUUAGAUACCCUGGUAGUCCGCACGGUAAACGAUGGAUGCCCGCUGUUGGUCUGAAUAGGUCAGCGGCCAAGCGAAAGCAUUAAGCAUCCCACCUGGGGAGUACGCCGGCAACGGUGCAACUCAAAUGAAUUGACGGAA
rnacentral:rRNA from 1 species